AUUUAUAUAAUAUAAAAAGUAUAUUUGACUUCCAAUCAAAUAGUCUAAUUUAUUUUAGUAUAAAUA
rnacentral:tRNA from 1 species